rnacentral:tRNA from 2 species
GCAGGGGUUGCCGAGUGGUCAAAGGCGCCGGGCUUAAGAUCCGGUCUCAAUGGGUUCGUGAGUUCAAAUCUCACCCCCUGCACCA